rnacentral:rRNA from 1 species
GCCCGCUCAGAAACUACAAAGGAAGUUGACGGGGCCCGCACAAGCGGAGGAGCAUGUGGUUUAAUUCGAUGAUACGCGAGGAACCUUACCUGGGCUCGAACGUAAGAUGACUGUAGGUGAAAGCUUACAUCUCUUCGGAGCAUUUUACGAGGUGCUGCAUGGUUGUCGUCAGCUCGUGCCGUGAGGUGUCGGGUUAAGUCCCAUAACGAGCGCAACCCUACCUUUAGUUGCCAUCAGGUAAUGCUGGGGACUCUAAAGGAACUGCCUACGCAAGUAGUGAGGAAGGCGGGGAUGACGUCAAAUCAGCACGGCCCUUACGUCCAGGGCUACACACGUGCUACAAUGGCCGAUACAGAGGGCAGCUACCUGGUGACAGGAUGCAAAUCUCCAAAGUCGGUCUCAGUUCGGAUCGGAGUCUGCAACCCGACUCCGUGAAGUUGGAUUCGCUAGUAAUCGCGCAUCAGCCAUGGCGCGGUGAAUACGUUCCCGGGCCUU